ACGUAGGGAGCGAGCGUUAUCCGGAUUUAUUGGGUGUAAAGGGUGCGUAGACGGGAAUACAAGUUAGUUGUGAAAUACCUCGGCUUAACUGAGGAACUGCAACUAAAACUAUAUUUCUUGAGUACAGGAGAGGUAAGUGGAAUUCCUAGUGUAGCGGUGAAAUGCGUAGAUAUUAGGAGGAACACCAGUGGCGAAGGCGACUUACUGGACUGAAACUGACGUUGAGGCACGAAAGUGUGGGGAGCAAACAG
rnacentral:rRNA from 2 species